CAAGAAGCCUUUCUCUCUAUGAAGUAAUGACAGAUGACGACCAGCAAAGAAUGAUUCCUGGUUGCUGCCGCUGCAGAGAGCCCGUGGGGAGCACCCCAGGAGCGAACCUGAGCCUCGGGACCACAGAUCAACUAACCACAAAUGGAAUUUCAAAGAAGAUUCUAUAUAAGUUUUCACCUUGAAAUGUUUUAUCAUUUCAAACUAAGAAGUUUGGAUUUUAUCCUGAGAUUUUAUCACAUAACUGUGACAAUUCCAGAUCAGAGAGAAGAAAAUAAUGCUGGAGACAUUGACACAUAGGUGAGAGGUGAAAGUAAAUUGAACUAGGGUGGAUGGCAGGAAUAGAGAGAAGUAGAGAUAUUCAUAGGACAGAAGAACCAGGGUCUUAUGACUGGUCUGCUACAUGAGGAGCAGGAAUGAAGGUUGAUUAGGAUCUAAGGCAGAGAGCUUUUUUUUUUUUUUUUUUUUUUUGAUUCUUUUUUUCGGAG
rnacentral:lncRNA from 1 species